UAAAUGGAAUCCUUGUUGAUCAUGUGUAUUCCUGGGUAAAUAACAUUUAUUUAUUUAACCAUGUUAUUGCUUGAGAAUACACGUGGUCGACAGGUUGAUCGACUUCAA
rnacentral:pre_miRNA from 1 species